rnacentral:rRNA from 1 species
ACAUAUCACAUAUCACCCUGUAGCCCUGUAGACUGGUUGCCCACUGAAGCUAAGCAGGGCUGAGCCUGGUCGGUACCUGGAUGGGAGACCUCCUGGGAAAACGUCUCGGGUUACUUAUGUA